rfam:Fusobacterium nucleatum subsp. nucleatum ATCC 25586, complete genome.
CUUGGUGAGUAUAGCUAUGGGGGUACACCUAGUUACAUUCCGAACCUAGAAGUUAAGCCCAUAUACGCUGAUGGUACUUGGCUGGAAGCGGCCUGGGAGAGUAUGGAUUUGCCAAGC